UUGCUCCUUUGACGUUAGCGGCGGACGGGUGAUAACACGUGGAUAACCUACCUAUAAGACUGGGAUAUCUUCGGGAAACCGGACUAAUACCGGAUAAGAUUUUGAACCGCAUGGUUCAUAGUGAAAGACGGCCUUGCUGUCACUUAUAGAUGGAUCCGCGCCGUAUUAGCUAGUUGGUAAGGUAACGGCUUACCAAGGGAACGAUGCGUAGCCGACCUGAGAGGGUGAUCGGCCACACUGGUUCUGAGACACGGUCCAGACUCCUACGGGAGGCAGCAGUAGGGAAUCUUCCGCAAUGGGCGAAAGCCUGACGGAGCAACGCCGCGUGUAGUGAUGAUUGGCUUCUCUUCUUCCAAUUUCGUACUAGGGAGUAGACCACGUGCAUGUUUCUUGUUUGUUCCUUUUGUCCCCCGAAGGAAAAAUCUCCAUCUCUAUACCUGCGCAUCGGAGCG
rnacentral:rRNA from 1 species